CCUACGGGAGGCAGCAGUGAGGAAUAUUGGUCAAUGGACGAGAGUCUGAACCAGCCAAGUAGCGUGAAGGAUGACUGCCCUAUGGGUUGUAAACUUCUUUUAUAUGGGAAUAACAUGUUCCACGUGUGGGAUUUUGUAUGUACCAUAUGAAUAAGGAUCGGCUAACUCCGUGCCAGCAGCCGCGGUAAUACGGAGGAUCCGAGCGUUAUCCGGAUUUAUUGGGUUUAAAGGGAGCGUAGGUGGAUUGUUAAGUCGGUUGUGAAAGUUUGCGGCUCAACCGUAAAAUUGCAGUUGAAACUGGCAGUCUUGAGUACAGUAGAGGUGGGCGGAAUUCGUGGUGUAGCGGUGAAAUGCUUAGAUAUCACGAAGAACUCCGAUUGCGAAGGCAGUUCACUGGACUGCAACUGACACUGAGGCUCGAAAGUGUGGGUAUCAAACAGGAUUAGAUACCCGAGUAGUC
rnacentral:rRNA from 1 species